ACAAACUUGGUCAUUUAGAGGAAGUAAAAGUCGUAACAAGGUUUCCGUAGGUGAACCUGCGGAAGGAUCAUUAUUGAAUAAACCUGAUGUAGUUGUAGCUGACUCUCCGGAGUAUGUGCACGCUCGUCAUCUUUAUAUUUCCACCUGUGAACACACUGUAGUCCCUGGAUACCUCUCGUCGCAAGGCGGAUGCAGAGUUUGCGCAAGCUUACUCUGAAUUUCCAGGGGUCUAUGAUUUUUACAAACCCCAAACGAAUGUUAUAGAAUGUCAUCAUAAGGCCCUCGUGCCUAUAAAUUUAUACAACUUUCAGCAACGGAUCUCUUGGCUCUCGCAUCGAUGAAGAACGCAGC
rnacentral:misc_RNA from 1 species